AUUCAUUUCCAACUCUGCUGAGUCUUGACGGGAACUCCCCAUUCCCGCUUUCUGAGCACUUGUCAGUGAAGCCUUUUGGUUUUAAGCCAUCCUUUGCAUGACAGUUCUAAAAGGUAGUAGCCAAGUUGUUUUGCUCCAAAUACCCUCUAGGGGAGGAAAGUCAUUCAAAGCCUGAGGGUUAGCACUGUGAACUGCAGCAGCCCCACUACCAGUCCCUGUCAGGACCACAGAUGUCAGGCUGGUGCACUGAGUUGGUACUGAGCUGGACUUGCUCUUGAGAACAACUUCCUUGAUAAAACUGUUUUUGUUUUCAGUUGCUUCCCUGUGAAGCUGAGUGAGGUAGAGUGGGUGGGUGGGUGGACAGAACCAGCUGGCUGAGCACUCCACGGCUGACUGUGGCGUCCUCUGCUGUGUAUUUGGUUUGCUGUGUCCAUUACGGAGCAGUCUUGGUUUUAUCUGUAUUCGUUCCCAUUAAAUAUUAGCGCCUAGUCAAAAUGUGAGUCAGUUUAACAAAUAGAUAAAUUGCUGCUCUCCAGUGGAGCACCUUGUGUGUAGAUUUGAGAGGACUAGGAAGAUCCUGAGUUAUACGCCAUCACUCUCCUCCAGGCAUCUCUCUUAUUCCUGCUUCACAUUUUAAGUGCCCUGUGUUUUAUCAGAGUCCCCACUCUCUUCCAGAUCCAUCUUAUAUCUGUUCUUCUAAGUACUAUAUACUCUAUGGGCAAGAGGCUGGCCCUCAAACAAGGAAGGAGCUUCAAUCCUCCAUCUGUUUUUACAGCUCGGUUCAUUCAAAUUGAUCAUCUCUGAAGGAGAGGAGGAUAUAACAUGGAAUCAAGUUCCAGAGCCUGAUCUUAUCACUUGAUCUGAUCAGCAGCCUUUUUACAGAUUGGGUGCAAACCAGAACCAUGAAGAUGUUGCACAAGACAGUGUAUACACAGGGCCUCGCAAGCUGCUUGGCACACAGGGGUUCUUAACCUGAGACCUAAAGUCAUCCAAGGACAGGAGCAGUGGUCGUUGAAUUGAAAAAUGCACAUCUUUAUUUUCACUAACCACAAGCUGAAAUUCAGUAUUCCCUUCAAUGUUGAAUGCAGGCAGUAAACAAGGCAGUAUCAGGUAUUACAGUAGAUAGUAUUAGAUAACUU